UACGUAGGGUGCAAGCGUUGUCCGGAAUUAUUGGGCGUAAAGAGCUCGUAGGCGGUUCGUCGCGUCGGCUGUGAAAUCCCGGAGCUCAACUCCGGGUCUGCAGUCGAUACGGGCGGACUCGAGUUCGGCAGGGGAGACUGGAAUUCCUGGUGUAGCGGUGAAAUGCGCAGAUAUCAGGAGGAACACCGGUGGCGAAGGCGGGUCUCUGGGCCGAUACUGACACUGAGGAGCGAAAGCGUGGGGAGCGAACAGG
rnacentral:rRNA from 1 species